GUUGGUGAACCACAAUAAUAUGAAAAGUGAACCUCGAGACUACCGUAAAUGGGUCGCGACACUAACGAGAGUGAACCACAAGACUCCUCGAAGUGGGCUGCAUCAAUCCAUUUUUCUCUUGAAAAUGAACCACUAAUUCUUGCUGAAAAGAGCUUCCCAACAAAUAACUUUUUACAUGCAAUACAUCAUAUACCAACCAGAACAUUCGAUACACAUAAAAAUCCAUAGACAACGAACUAAACUGCAUGCCCGCUUGCAUCGAGCAGCAAGCCACACACACCGCACUGCAUCACGGUAUUGCACGCGUGCAGACUGCACCACCGACGACAAGGUGCAACAUGCAACAAGCCAGAGUGUCCAGGCUACCAUGGCGACUACAAGCAGGAGCUGGCUGAACCACAUGGCCGUGCCAGCCGAACUACACAGAGAGAUUUAACAAAUUGCAUUAGAAACUGAAUUCACCCAAAUCAAUAGCAAAAAUCUAAAAAAUACACAAAAAUAUAUUUUUGUGACCUGCGAGCGCCUGUGAGCUGCAAACACCGUUCGAUGCGAGCGACUUUGUUGUUUGGCUGCCGCCGUCAUUCACACACACAUACAGGAACUCGCUUGGGAGCGUACUGUAGCACAACCACAUGACCGCCUACGGCAAACGGUAUUUUCCAUCUUGUGGGCUUUAUGUCGCUGGCCAGUGGAUCCACUCCCGCACUGAAACAUCUUACACAACCAGCUGCACUUCACCGAGGACCCAAGCGAACCGCCCUGCACAAGCAAGCAAAAAAUAUGAAUAACAUUUUUCACCUAAAAAUAUGAAUAACACAGAAAAAAAACAUCAAGGGCAUCGAUAGAUGAACCGCAUGGCCGAUCGAGCCGAACUUCACCGAAUCACCGAUCAACAAAGAUACCAAAACCGCAACGAGGCUAGUUCAGAAAAAGAAAAGAGAAACUACGACGGGGCACAAUCUGAAACUACAGGACCGUGAUAUCCAGAGGCAGAAGCGCCACCACAAACUCUCCUGCUGCUCCCACCGAAGUAGUAGCCGCCGCCAUCCUUCUCUCUACCAACAAGUGAGCCGCGAAGUGGUAGAAGAGAACUGCAGAUCCCAUCAUGGAAAGGACCAGGCGGAGAGGAAUCAACCGCGG
rnacentral:lncRNA from 1 species